rnacentral:lncRNA from 1 species
CAAGUAGACAUCUGUCACUGUCCGAAGGAGAUCACAUCUCUUUUACCGUAGACGUGAAAUUAUGACAUAAGUGGUCACUACAUGUCUUCUAGUCCUUGAGAUGGAAUGCCGUGCUCUACUAUUCUACAGUGCUUCAUAAAACUAUGUGAGAUGUGCCCAUGCUGAUUCACCUGGUCUGCAGUUAGCAUCUAUCAACAAAACUGCUACCUGCACCUUCAUCUGGAGGGAAUCCAGAGCAAGGAAAUCACAAGCAAAUACUGAGAGGUUGCCUGAUAAUUAAUGACAACAUUGAAGGAUGGUCAUCUGAUAACAAGAAGUUAUUUGCAUAACC